UACAAGAUAGCUCAGCCGGUAGAGCAUGAGAAUCUUAAUCUCAGAGUUGUGGGUUCGAGCUCCACAUUCCAUAA